UACGGAAGGCAGCAGUGGGGAAUAUUGCACAAUGGGCGCAAGCCUGAUGCAGCCAUGCCGCGUGUAUGAAGAAGGCCUUCGGGUUGUAAAGUACUUUCAGUCGUGAGGAAGGUGUUAAGGUUAAUAACCUUAGCAAUUGACGUUAGCGACAGAAGAAGCACCGGCUAACUCCGUGCCAGCAGCCGCGGUAAUACGGAGGGUGCGAGCGUUAAUCGGAAUUACUGGGCGUAAAGGGCACGCAGGCGGUUAAUUAAGUUGGAUGUGAAAUCCCCGGGCUUAACCUGGGAAUGGCAUUCAAGCUGGUUAGCUAGAGUCUUGUAGAGGGGGUAGAAUUCCAUGUGUAGCGGUGAAAUGCGUAGAGAUGUGGAGGAAUACCGGUGGCGAAGGCGGCCCCCUGGACAAAGACUGACGCUCAUGUGCGAAAGCGUGGGGAGCAAACAGGGAUUAGAUACC
rnacentral:rRNA from 1 species